rnacentral:lncRNA from 1 species
AUACAAAGUCGCAUAUUUCCAUCUUUUUUCUUUACGAAGAGAACAUGAGCACCCCAAGGAGAUGUACUAGGACGAAUGAAACCGAUGUCUAAUAAUUCCUGCAGUUGAAUCUUUAACUCCUGAAGUUCAACAGGAGCCAUUCGAUAUGGGGCUUUGGAAAUGGGUUUUGUACCGGGUUCAAGGUCUAUACUGUAGCAUCCCCGAAUCCGGGUCCCAAAUCGCCGCGGAUCCGGUAUACUAAUUCUAUCACUAUUGAGGAAGAUAUAAACAUAAAUUGUUUAUACAUUAAACUUUACACACUAUUUCCCCAAAAUCGAGUAACCUUAACUAAUACACAAUCAUAAACUAUCUAACACAUGACAAUACUAUUCUUCAACCAUACUUUUACAAAUUAGCU